GCCCGGUGCGGUCAUGUGUGCCUGUAGUCCUAGCUACUCAGGAGGCUGAGGUGGGAGGAUCGCUUGAGCCCAGGAGUUCCAGGCUGUAGUGCGCUAUGCCGAUCGGGUGUCCUCACUAAGUUCGGCAUCAAUAUGGUGACCUCCUGGGAGCGGGGGACCACCAGGUUGCCUGAGGAGGGGUGAACCGGCCCAGGUUGGAAACAGCAGGUCAAAACUCCCGUGCUGAUCAGUAGUGGGAUUGCACCUGUGAAUAACUACACACCAGCCGGGCAACAUAGCGGACCCAUUCUCCU
rnacentral:SRP_RNA from 1 species